CGCCGAGGACGACAACGCCGACGCCGACAACGACGACGGGAGGCCAGUUUUUUUAAACUACUGGGACGUUGGGGUGUCGCCGCGGAUCCAGUAGCGGCGGCAGGUCUUGCAGAAGUAGAGCGGCUGCGAGAUUGAGUAGUUGUUGAAAUAGCAGAACUUGGUGUUGGUCGAGUCACACCGCGGGGACUUGAGCGCCGGCUCCGGCUGGGGAAUCUUCGCGAGCCAUCGAGCCAGGCCGGGCAGGGCCGCCGGCCGCAGCUGCCAUGCUCGGGGCCUUAGGGCGUGGUGCAGCCUGCAGACACGGUGGGAGCGUGUGAGCUACGUCAGAAAGGCCGCCGCCGCCGCCGCCGCCGCUGCCGCUUCCGCUCUGUUGCUGCUGGUGUGAAGAGGAAACGAGGGAUUUCUUCUUUUUAGUUCUUGGUGGCUUUUAUAUAAUAAAUGGUAGGAUUGGCUAAAUAGGUGGUGAGUGGAAGCAAUUCCUUGGUGGCUUUUAUAUAUGUGCGUGUGAUUGAUUAUAUUCUCAUAAAUUUUGAUCUCUUUAAUUAAGGUCAUGCAUGAUGUUUACUUCUUUCUAA